UACGUAGGGUGCAAGCGUUGCCCGGAUUUAUUGGGCGUAAAGGGCGCGUAGGCGGCUCGGCACGUCCGUUGUGAAAUCGCCCGGCUCAACUGGGCGGGGUCAGCGGAUACGGCCGAGCUUGAGCAAGCUAGGGGGCAAUGGAAUUCCCGGUGUAGUGGUGGAAUGCGUAGAUAUCGGGAGGAACACCCGUGGCGAAAGCGGCUCACUGGGUCUCUUCUGACGCUGAGGCACGAAAGCUAGGGUAGCGAACGGG
rnacentral:rRNA from 1 species